UGGUUAUGGCUGAUCAGCCCGUGAUCUGCCAGGCUUUGCUUGUGGACCAGAGCAUCCUAGAAACCUCGCCAGAGUUGCGCAAGGCCUUUUUGUUUUACGCUUGUGCCAGCAGCACUUCUGAACAUAC
rnacentral:snoRNA from 14 species